rnacentral:rRNA from 1 species
GUCCACGCCCUAAACGAUGUCAACUAGGUGUUGGGAGGGUAAAACCUUUUAGUACCGGAGCUAACGCGUGAAGUUGACCGCCUGGGGAGUACGGCCGCAAGGUUAAAACUCAAAGGAAUUGACGGGUACCCGCACAAGCGGUGGAUGAUGUGGAUUAAUUCGAUGCAACGCGAAAAACCUUACCUACCCUUGACAUGUCCAGGAGCCCUUAGAGAUUUGGGUGUGCCCGAAAGGGAGCUGGAACACAGGUGCUGCAUGGCUGUCGU